CUCUCGUUCUUCGACUUCGUCGUUCCCUUCCCCUUUCCCUUUUCCUUUUCCCUUUUCCCUUUCACAGGUCAACACCAUCGGUACCGGCACCACCACCGACUCGCCGGAAUCCACAGGUAAGUAUCCUUAUCUAUAUCCCUCUCUUUGCUCGGAACACUGUUCCGGCAAAGAUUCGCACUGGUUUCGGUGUUUUUUCCUUCGACACCUCCUUCACCACCGUGACGCUCAGCGUCAGGCGCGCAACC
rnacentral:lncRNA from 1 species